rnacentral:rRNA from 1 species
AGAACGAACGCUGGCGGCAUGCCUAACACAUGCAAGUCGAACGCUUUUGGGGCUUCGGUCCCAAAGGAGUGGCGCACGGGUGAGUAGCGCGUGGGAACCUGCCCUGUUGUGGGGGAUAACCGAGGGAAACUUCGGCUAAUACCGCAUACGCCCGGGGGAAACUCCGGGGAAAGAUUUAUCGCAGCAGGAGGGGCCCGCGUCGGAUUAGGUAGUUGGUGGGGUAACGGCCCACCAAGCCUGUGAUCCGUAGCUGGUCUGAGAGGAUGAUCAGCCACACUGGGACUGAGACACGGCCCAGACUCCUACGGGAGGCAGCAGUGGGGAAUAUUGGACAAUGGGCGCAAGCCUGAUCCAGCAAUGCCGCGUGAGUGAUGAAGGCCUUCGGGUUGUAAAGCUCUUUCGCACGCGACGAUGAUGACGGUAGCGUGAGAAGAAGCCCGCUAACUUCGUGCCAGCAGCCGC